UUCACAGUGGUGCAUCACAACUUCAGCAGUUCUGCCACAGAGCUUGUGGUGGGCAGUGGUGAGCCUGAGCCAGUUCAGGGAGGGUUGGAGUCUGGCUUGAGGAUUCUUCUGAAGCAGUUGACUAGCUGGCUUUUAUUGCAAGACAGAGAACACAAGAUCUCUUCACUGAUCCUGCAAGGUGGCUGUAGUAUUUUGCCUUGAAAGACUGGAAGUUCCCUCCAUGAGAACCUGGGAGGACAAGGAUGGCCUCCUGUGCUGUUCUGCAGAGAGGAGCAGCCUUCGAUGGUGAGCAAAGAAGCAGUACCGCAGUCCCCUCUCGGGAGCAGCACCAGACUCUAGAAUGCUGCCGUGAAUGUCUUCAACUCUCUGCAUUGUAUGUAUUGAAGAGAUUGGAUAUGCUGCACUUGUUGAUGAGGAGCCCCGGAAGGGGCAGAGAGAAGAACUAGCACAGGCCCAACCCUGGCAGCAGCACGAUCAUCUAGAAUGCCAGAAACCAGCUCUGCUCCUCCCUGCCACUGGAGCAGGCUUUGAAGGGGUUGAAAGAAGCAAGACCACGGUGCCUCCCUCAGCAGCACUCUCUCUCUCUCUGGCAGUCGGCUCCUGGUGUUCUGCAGGGCAGCCUUGGAAGUGAUGGGAAGAAUUCGUGUGGUCCAUGAUGAAGGAAAACCAGGUUCUGGCUGGUCCAGGCCUGUGCAUGUCGAUAGUUGGCAAUAAAUGAGGCCCACAGGUGGCAUCAGGCUGAGAGAACAGUGUGAACAACACAAUGCUCCACCCCUUGGGUUUCUAGUUGGGAGCUGUAAAGCCACAUGUCUUUGUCUAAGCCUCUAUAUGCUUUGCUUUCUGAGUCUGAGCAGAAAGAAGACGUGAUGGAAUCCCAGUCUUGGGAGCAGCAGGAUCAGCUAGACUGCUGGAAAGCUCCUCCCUGCUGGUGGUGAUGGUAAGGAUUUCUACAGGUAGUGUUUGGUCUUCACUGUUGUGACAUGAGCAUUGUAGACAUCUGUUUUGCAGGAGCAGGCUCUGAAGGUGUGGAAAGAAGCAGUACCAGGGUCUCAAUCAGUAGGGGCAUCUUCUCUGUGCCCGAUGUUGCAGAGGAGCAGCUGCAGAAGUGGCAGAAACGAUUGGUGCAGCCACAGCCUCAGGUGCAACACGAUUCUCGGACACAAGAAACCUCUGUGACUGGUGGCAGACAUGCUUGACGUUUGGAUCUUGUCACGAACCCAGCUCUGACCGACAUGACUCGCAGGCCAGCAUGGGCGCCCUCAAAAACCCCUUGCCUGUGUUGUAGCUGGCUCUGUAUUGAGGCUUCUCUUCACCUGCACUGUUGGCAGAAGCACCUUGCAGGAUGUCUUGCUUCUCAUUCCUGUGCCCUGCUCUUGGAUGUCUCCGCUCCUGACACUCGAACUCUGACUUUGCCUGCUUCGAAUGGACUGACACUUUCCUUCAGCCUCGCACCCCUCUUGCCCAGCUGGGACAGCCAGAAGACAGACACUGCUCAGCCUUGGUUCUGCUGCCUUGGUCAGCAUUGUGGUCUUCAUUUCCUAAGUACCUAAUAAUCUGCAUCUCCGGCCACUAACUACAUCAGUGUUGUCUUGGAGUCUCCUGUGAGAGGAGAGACGCUGUGCCCCUGGGGCUUAUAAAGAGGGAGGGCGUGCCCCCAAGAGGCACACUGGAUCUAGUCUUCCACCAAGUGAGACUACCUGUGACUCUAUCCAUCACCUGCCCUGCCUAGCAUCGCGCCCCCCCCCCCCCGUCUGAGGAAGCACCAGCUGCCACUGAGGGAUGGGCCUUUUCUGGGGCUACGCUGAGACUCUGGAAUCCAUUCCCUGCAGAAAUCAGAGCCUCCCCAUCUCAGACUACUUAAGACAUUGGACACAUUUCUUCACCCAAGCUUUUAAAGUAGAUGUGGCUUUAACUUCCUGGUCUUUGACUGUAAUAAAGAUGUGUAUCUGAAGGUUUUAGUUGGU